CUCGAUUAGAAGCUCUGCUUCUAUGACGUUAGCGGCGGACGGGUGAGUAACACGUGGGCAACCUGCCUGUAAGACUGGGAUAACUUCGGGAAACCGAAGCUAAUACCGGAUAGGAUCUUCUCCUUCAUGGGAGAUGAUUGAAAGAUGGUUUCGGCUAUCACUUACAGAUGGGCCCGCGGUGCAUUAGCUAGUUGGUGAGGUAACGGCUCACCAAGGCAACGAUGCAUAGCCGACCUGAGAGGGUGAUCGGCCACACUGGGACUGAGACACGGCCCAGACUCCUACGGGAGGCAGCAGUAGGGAAUCUUCCGCAAUGGACGAAAGUCUGACGGAGCAACGCCGCGUGAGUGAUGAAGGCUUUCGGGUCGUAAAACUCUGUUGUUAGGGAAGAACAAGUACAAGAGUAACUGCUUGUACCUUGACGGUACCUAACCAGAAAGCCACGGCUAACUACGUGCCAGCAGCCGCGGUAAUACGUAGGUGGCAAGCGUUAUCCGGAAUUAUUGGGCGUAAAGCGCGCGCAGGCGGUUUCUUAAGUCUGAUGUGAAAGCCCACGGCUCAACCGUGGAGGGUCAUUGGAAACUGGGGAACUUGAGUGCAGAAGAGAAAAGCGGAAUUCCACGUGUAGCGGUGAAAUGCGUAGAGAUGUGGAGGAAC
rnacentral:rRNA from 1 species